rnacentral:rRNA from 1 species
AGAGUGAACGCUGGCGGUAGGCCUAACACAUGCAAGUCGAACGGCAGCACAGGAGAGCUUGCUCUCUGGGUGGCGAGUGGCGGACGGGUGAGGAAUACAUCGGAAUCUACCUUUUCGUGGGGGAUAACGUAGGGAAACUUACGCUAAUACCGCAUAAGACCUUCGGGUGAAAGCCGGGGACCUUCGGGCCUGGCGCGGAUAGAUGAGCCGAUGUCGGAUUAGCUUGUUGGCGGGGUAAAAGCCCACCAAGGCGACGAUCCGUAGCUGGUCUGAGAGGAUGAUCAGCCACACUGGAACUGAGACACGGUCCAGACUCCGUACGGGAGCAGCAGUGGGAAUAUUGGACAAGUGGGC